rnacentral:rRNA from 1 species
AUUGAACGCUGGCGGAAUGCUUUACACAUGCAAGUCGAACGGCAGCAUGGUGUAGCUUGCUACACUGAUGGCGAGUGGCGAACGGGUGAGUAACGCGUAGGAAUAUACCUUAAAGAGGGGGAUAACUUGGGGAAACUCAAGCUAAUACCGCAUAAUAUCUGAGGAUAAAAGCUGGGGACCUUAUGGCCUGGCGCUCUAAGAUUAGCCUGCGUCCGAUUAGCUAGUUGGUAGGGUAAGGGCCUACCAAGGCGACGAUCGGUAGCUGGUCUGAGAGGACGACCAGCCACACUGGGACUGAGACACGGCCCAGACUCCUACGGGAGGCAGCAGUGGGGAAUUUUGGACAAUGGGCGAAAGCCUGAUCCAGCAAUGCCGCGUGCAGGAUGAAGGCCUUCGGGUUGUAAACUGCUUUUGUACGGAACGAAAAGCUUCGGGUUAAUACCCUGGAGUCAUGACGGUACCGUAAGAAUAAGCACCGGCUAACUACGUGCCAGCCGCCGCCGUAA